AGAGUUUGAUCCUGGCUCAGAUUGAACGCUGGCGGCAUGCCUUACACAUGCAAGUCGAACGGUAACGGGCCUUCGGGUGCCGACGAGUGGCGAACGGGUGAGUAAUGUAUCGGAACGUACCUUUCAGUGGGGAUAACGUAGCGAAAGUUACGCUAAUACCGCAUAUUCUGUGAGCAGGAAAGCAGGGGAUCGCAAGACCUUGCGCUGAUUGAGCGGCCGAUAUCAGAUUAGCUAGUUGGUGAGGUAAAGGCUCACCAAGGCGACGAUCUGUAGCGGUCUGAGAGGAUGAUCCGCCACACUGGAACUGAGACACGGUCCAGACUCCUACGGGAGGCAGCAGGUGGGGAAUUUUGGACAAUGGGGGCAACCCUGAUCCAGCCAUGCCGCGUGAGUGAAGAAGGCCUUCGGGUUGUAAAGCUCUUUCGGCCGGGAAGAAAUCGUAUGGGUUAAUACCCUGUGCGGAUGACGGUACCGGCAUAAGAAGCACCGGCUAACUACGUG
rnacentral:rRNA from 1 species